CCUACGGGAGGCAGCAGUGAGGAAUAUUGGUCAUUGGACGCAAGUCUGAACCAGCCAUGCCGCGUGCAGGAAGACGGCUCUAUGAGUUGUAAACUGCUUUUGUACGAGGGUAAACGCAGAUACGCGUAUCUGUCUGAAAGUAUCGUACGAAUAAGGAUCGGCUAACUCCGUGCCAGCAGCCGCGGUAAUACGGAGGAUUCAAGCGUUAUCCGGAUUUAGUGGGUUUAAAGGGUGCGUAGGCGGUCGGAUAAGUUAGAGGUGAAAUCCCGAGGCUCAAAUUCGGAAUUGCCUCUGAAACUGUUCGGCUAGAGAGUAGGUGCGGUAGGCGGAAUGUAUGGUGUAGCGGUGAAAUGCUUAGAGAUCAUACAGAACACCGAUUGCGAAGGCAGCUUACCAAGCUACUUCUGACGUUGAGGCACGAAAGCGUGGGGAGCAAACAGGAUUAGAUACCCCUGUAGUC
rnacentral:rRNA from 1 species